GACGAACGCUGGCGGCGUGCCUAAUGCAUGCAAGUCGCACGCAUCCGCUUCGGCGGGUGAGUGGCGCACGGCUGAGUAACACGUGGGAACCCGCCCCCCGGUGGGGGAUAACGCGACGAAAGUUGCGCUAAUCCCGCAUACGACCUUCGGGAGAAAGCGCUGCGCGCGCCGGGGGAGGGGCCUGCGGCCCAUCAGGUCGUUGGUGGGGUAAUGGCCUACCAAGCCGAUGACGGGUAGCUGGUCUGGGAGGAUGACCAGCCAGACUGGGGCUGAGACACGGCCCAGACUCCUACGGGAGGCAGCAGCAAGGAAUUUUCGGCAAUGGGCGCAAGCCUGACCGAGCAACGCCGCGUGCGGGAUGACGGCCUUCGGGUUGUAAACCGCUUUUCGGGGGGACGACCCUGACGGUACCCCCGGAAUCAGCCCCGGCUAACUCUGUGCCAGCAGCCGCGGUAAGACAGAGGGGGCGAGUGUUGUCCGGAGUCACUGGGCGUAAAGCGCGCGCAGGCGGCAACCUAAGUGUCGUGUGAAAGCCCCCGGCUCAACCGGGGGAGGCCAUGGCAAACUGGGUCGCUCGAGCUGCGGAGAGGCUCUCUCGAAUUGCCGGUGUAGCGGUGAAAUGCGUAGAGAUCGGCAGGAAGACCA
rnacentral:rRNA from 1 species